rnacentral:rRNA from 1 species
CCUACGGGAGGCAGCAGUGAGGAAUAUUGGUCAAUGGACGAGAGUCUGAACCAGCCAAGUAGCGUGAAGGAGGACUGCCCUAUGGGUUGUAAACUUCUUUUAUAGGGGAAUAAAACGUGCCACGAGUGGGAUGUUGUAUGUACCAUAUGAAUAAGGAUCGGCUAACUCCGUGCCAGCAGCCGCGGUAAUACGGAGGAUCCGAGCGUUAUCCGGAUUUAUUGGGUGUAAAGGGAGCGUAGGUGGCUUGUUAAGUCCGUUGUGAAAGUUGGCGGCUCAACCGUAAAAUUGCCGUUGAAACUGGCAGUCUUUAGUACAGUACAGGUGGGCGGCCUUCGUGUUGUAGCGGUG